rnacentral:rRNA from 1 species
UGGGGAAUUUUGGACAAUGGGGGCAACCCUGAUCCAGCAAUGCCGCGUGUGUGAAGAAGGCCUUCGGGUUGUAAAGCACUUUUGUCCGGAAAGAAAACGUCGUGGUUAAUACCCGUGGCGGCUGACGGUACCGGAAGAAUAAGCACCGGCUAACUACGUGCCAGCAGCCGCGGUAAUACGUAGGGUGCAAGCGUUAAUCGGAAUUACUGGGCGUAAAGCGUGCGCAGGCGGUCCGCUAAGACAGAUGUGAAAUCCCCGGGCUUAACCUGGGAACUGCAUUUGUGACUGGCGGGCUAGAGUAUGGCAGAGGGGGGUAGAAUUCCACGUGUAGCAGUGAAAUGCGUAGAGAUGUGGAGGAAUACCGAUGGCGAAGGCAGCCCCCUGGGCCAAUACUGACGCUCAUGCACGAAAGCGUGGGGAGCAAACAGGAUUAGAUACCCUGGUAGUCCACGCCCUAAACGAUGUCAACUAGUUGUCGGGUCUUCAUUGACUUGGUAACGUAGCUAACGCGUGAAGUUGACCGCCUGGGGAGUACGGUC